GACGAACGCUGGCGGCGUGCUUAACACAUGCCAGUCGAACGGAAAGGCCCUGCUUUUGUGGGGUGCUCGAGUGGCGAACGGGUGAGUAACACGUGAGUAACCUGCCCUUGACUUUGGGAUAACUUCAGGAAACUGGGGCUAAUACCGGAUAGGAGCUCCUGCUGCAUGGUGGGGGUUGGAAAGUUUCGGCGGUUGGGGAUGGACUCGCGGCUUAUCAGCUUGUUGGUGGGGUAGUGGCUUACCAAGGCUUUGACGGGUAGCCGGCCUGGGAGGGUGACCGGCCCCAUUGGGCCUGAGAUACGGCCCAGACUCCUCCGGGAGGAAGAGGUGGGGAAUAUGGCCCAAUGGGCGGAAGCCUGAUGAAGCACCGCCGGGUGCGGGAUGACGGCCUUCGGGUUGUAAACCGCUUUCGCCUGUGACGAAGCGUGAGUGACGGUAAUGGGUAAAGAAGCACCGGCUAACUACGU
rnacentral:rRNA from 1 species